UACAGAGGUGGCAAGCGUUGUUCGGAAUUACUGGGCGUAAAGGGCGCGUAGGCGGCCUUCUAAGUCAGAUGUGAAAUCCCCCGGCUUAACCUGGGAACUGCGUCUGAUACUGGAAGGCUUGAGUGCGGGAGAGGGAUGUGGAAUUCCAGGUGCAGCGGUGAAAUGCGUAGAUAUCUGGAGGAACACCGGUGGCGAAGGCGGCAUCCUGGACCGACACUGACGCUGAGGCGCGAAAGCUAGGGUAGCAAACGGG
rnacentral:rRNA from 1 species